UAACAGUUUAGUGUAUAUUUGUAAAAGAAAAAUUCAAAUUAGUGAUAAAUUUUACUAAUUAAAAUCAUAUACUUUUCGAUGAGUUGUUUGGGAAGAAAACACUGAUUUAUAAAUUCCCCAAAUUAUUUUUAUUGUUAUCCCUCAGUUUCUCUCUCCAAAACUUAUCAAGCUGUGCUCAACCAUGGAGACAAAGUGUGUUGUAAUUUCCACAAUUUGACGUGGAUCAUUGCGCCUGUGUUUGGGAGGGGAUGUAUCACUUUAGAUCCCUAAGAGGAAAAUACAAUUUAUUUUGAUAGGCACAACUUCCAUCACAAUCAAAUAUUCAUCCCGCUUUAGAGGUAAACAAUUUCUUGUUCAUUUCUUAAUCUUAGACUUAUAUUUUCUAAUGAAGGAGAGGAAUCAACUUUGAACAAGAUAUUGUUUCCACUGAAGUUUCUAUUUUACCAAGUCAGUGAUCCUUGUCGAUUAUAUCGAUACAAUAUAUAUAAACCAUGGAUGAGUUGUGAAUAGUAUUUUCAGCCAAAGUAUGAACCGUGUUUUCAUUCUUUCUUAUUUCUUUAUUUACUUCCUUCUUUUUCUUUUUUCCAUUUUGAAGGAUCGUGUUGUUGUUUUGGUAUUUUGCUUCAUUAUGUUCAGGUAAUAAAGGUUUCAAUUGUUAUGUUAUUAUUUCCUUUACAUAUUCCUUUAUUUGUUUAUUUUUGUUUUUUGUUGGUAGUUUAAAAUAUUUAUUGGACAAGAGUUUCGUUUUCUAUUUUUUUAUUUCUCUUUUGUUCUCCGUUUGUGGAAGUAUUAAUUUUGUAUAUCAUUUGAAGUUAAGCUUACAUCAUUUUAGGAAGGUUUAGUGACUAUCAUUUUUCUUUGUUUUGAUUGUUACUUAUUGCAGUAUUUUGAGGUUUAUUUGUUUUGAUUUUUGUUUAUUUUAGUAGUUUUAGGUUUUAGUUUUAUUUUUUUCUAUUUUUUGUUUAUUGUAGUAGUUUUUUUUUUAAUAGUAAUUUUUGGUUCAGUGAAAUCCCUAACCUACUGAAAUAUUAUGUAGUAGACAAACCUGUUUUUUUUUUUUUUUUUAACUAGGAUGUUUUAUUAUAGGGUAAAUUACAUUUACCUCCCCUGAGGUUUCUGACAAAUACAGAGACCUCUCUUGUGAUUUGAAUAAUUACAAUAACCUCUCCUACUUUACCUGACAAUACCAAGAUUUCCCCAAUCUGUCAAUUUUGCUCAAACGACGUUAUUUGCUUAUACAAAAUGACCAUAUUACCCAUUUACUUGAGCACAAAAAGACAAAAAUACCCUUCAAUAUUUUUUUAACCCAAUAAUUUAUAUUGAUCCUUUCCCUUCUUCCAUUUACCAAUCUAAACCCUCUGAAGAAAUAAGAGAGAAAGAGAGAGAGAGAGAGAAGCUCUUCUUCACCAGUGCCCCUUCUCUCCACCGUCUACCACUGCCGUCUUUCCUUUUCCUCCUCUUCUUCUCCCUCCACUCCCUUUCCGUUGUCCAUCGCUUACGGAUUUGGGUUGACCGAUGAUGGCAGCAGCGUUGACCGAUCUGGGUUUGUGACGGUUGGUUGCGAUCUUGGUCACGAUUGAAAGAAGAAAAAAAAAAGAAGAAGGAGAGGAAGAGAGACGGGAGACGAACGACGGGAGAAUGAAAUGGGGAAGAUGGCAUCAAUUGAUAAAAAUGGAGCAUUAUCUCUUUUUGAUUGCAAGGAUGACAAUGGUGGGCCUAAGAUUGGGAUAGUGUUGAAGAAACAGGAAAUAUAAGUUUUGCACACCAAGCAUUUUGGUAGUGAUUGAUAGAUGCAAAAGUUCAUAAAUCUUGCUGACUUGCUUUCUAUUCCUUUUUUCUUCUUUGAAACCAGAUUUCAUUGAUUUUUGUUUAAACCAUACUUUUUUCUUCUCUUGCCUUCUCAACCAUUGAUUUUUGUUUAAUCCAUACAGUUCCAUUGUUACAAUAGAACAGAUUUAUGAGCUUUAUUUAUUGUUGCUUGUAAUGAAAAAGGAACUGAACAUGAUUGGCUUUAUUCUUUUGGAUUCGUUUUCAUUAAUUUUCAUUUUCUUUGGCAUGAUGGUUCACAAUACAUUAUAGAUGCCAAAAUCUGGACCAACUGAAACCCAAUUUCAUUAUUGGGUUGCGGUAGAUAUGGACCAUAGUUCUUUGAAAUCUAUUGGGUUAUUUCUAAUCUUUGAACAAUGAAUCUGUUUGAGAAGCAUUUUAUUUGAAUUUUACUUUUAUUGCCUGUGUAGCAUGCAUUCUUUGAUUUUAUUUUAUUUUUUAAAAAUUAAUUUAGUUUAUUUUUUAUUUUUCAUGUUAAAUCUGGAUGGCCUAAUAAUAUGAAUUUACAAAUUUGUAUGUAUAUGCUAAGGCCAUUCUAGUUGUUUCUGUUUGCUGCAUAUUAUAGUUCCCAAAUAUUAUGAAUUGUUACUUCUGCGCAGAGACAAAUCAUGCUAUUAUGAAGUCUACUAGUUCUUACAAUUUUUGUAUAAAUUUAAUGUUGUGUUUGGAAUGGAUAAUAAGGAGAUGGAAGUGGUAAAGAUUAGAGAGAGAGAGAGAGAUGUGAUGACAGUAAUGCUACCAGUGGAGGAGUGGGAGAGAAGGGAAAAGAAGAAGAGCAAUGUUUGUUUGUGAUGUUGUGGGUUGUUUGGUUACAAGGAACAAAGGGUAAUUUUGGUAUUCAGUCACCAUAAUAUGCUGAUGUAAGAAAUUUUCAUCACCUGUCUAACGACUAGUUAAUAGAAGGGUGGUUUGUAUAUAUUGUCAGGUAAAGUAGGGGAGUCACUGUAAUUAUUCAAACCACAGGGGAGGUCCCUGUAUUUGUUAGAAACUUCAAGGGAGGUAAAUGUAAUUUACCCUUUAUUAUACCUAUGAGAUUAUACGUAUUUGAUUA